rnacentral:rRNA from 1 species
UGGGGAAUUUUCCGCAAUGGGCGAAAGCCUGACGGAGCAAUGCCGCGUGGAGGUGGAAGGCCUACGGGUCGUCAACUUCUUUUCUCGGUGAAGAAACAAUGACGGUAUCUGAGGAAUAAGCAUCGGCUAACUCUGUGCCAG